CUUGACAUGCAUUGAAAACUGUUAGAGAUAACAGGGUCCGCAAGGGCUUUGCACAGGUGGUGCAUGGCUGUCGUCAGCUCGUGUCGUGAGAUGUUGGGUUAAGUCCCGCAACGAGCGCAACCCUCGUUCUAUGUUGCCAGCGCGUAAUGGCGGGGACUCAUAGGAGACUGCCGGGGUCAACUCGGAGGAAGGUGGGGAUGACGUCAAAUCAUCAUGCCCCUUAUGCCUAGGGCUGCACGCAUGCUACAAUGGCCGAUACAAAGGGCUGCGAUACCGCAAGGUGGAGCGAAUCCCAUAAAGUCGGUCUCAGUUCGGAUUGGGGUCUGCAACUCGACCCCAUGAAGUUGGAGUUGCUAGUAAUCGCAGAUCAGCAACGCUGCGGUGAAUACGUUCCCGGGCCUUGUACACACCGCCCGUCACGUCACGAAAGUCGGUAACACCCGAAGCGCGGUGCCUAACCGUAAGGAAG
rnacentral:rRNA from 1 species